AGGGCGCACGGUGGAUGCCUUGACACUAGGAGUCGAUGAAGGACGGGACUAACGCCGAUAUGCUUCGGGGAGCUGUAAGUAAGCUUUGAUCCGAAGAUUUCCGAAUGGGGAAACCCACCAUACGUAAUGGUAUGGUAUCCUUAUCUGAAUACAUAGGGUAAGGAAGACAGACCCAGGGAACUGAAACAUCUAAGUACCUGGAGGAAGAGAAAGCAAAUGCGAUUUCCUGAGUAGCGGCGAGCGAAACGGAACAUAGCCCAAACCAAGAGGCUUGCCUCUUGGGGUUGUAGGACAUUCUAUACGGAGUUACAAAGGAACGAGGUAGACGAAGCGACCUGGAAAGGUCCGUCGUAGAGGGUAACAACCCCGUAGUCGAAACUUCGUUCUCUCUUGAAUGUAUCCUGAGUACGGCGGAACACGUGAAAUUCCGUCGGAAUCUGGGAGGACCAUCUCCCAAGGCUAAAUACUCCCUAGUGAUCGAUAGUGAACCAGUACCGUGAGGGAAAGGUGAAAAGCACCCCGGAAGGGGAGUGAAAGAGAUCCUGAAACCGUGUGCCUACAAAUAGUCAGAGCCCGUUAACGGGUGAUGGCGUGCCUUUUGUAGAAUGAACCGGCGAGUUACGAUCCCGUGCGAGGUUAAGCUGAAGAGGCGGAGCCGCAGCGAAAGCGAGUCUGAAUAGGGCGUUUAGUACGUGGUCGUAGACCCGAAACCAGGUGAUCUACCCAUGUCCAGGGUGAAGUUCAGGUAACACUGAAUGGAGGCCCGAACCCACGCACGUUGAAAAGUGCGGGGAUGAGGUGUGGGUAGCGGAGAAAUUCCAAUCGAACCUGGAGAUAGCUGGUUCUCCCCGAAAUAGCUUUAGGGCUAGCCUUAAGUGUAAGAGUCUUGGAGGUAGAGCACUGAUUGGACUAGGGGUCCUCAUCGGAUUACCGAAUUCAGUCAAACUCCGAAUGCCAAUGACUUAUCCUUAGGAGUCAGACUGCGAGUGAUAAGAUCCGUAGUCAAAAGGGAAACAGCCCAGACCGCCAGCUAAGGUCCCAAAGUGUGUAUUAAGUGGAAAAGGAUGUGGAGUUGCUUAGACAACUAGGAUGUUGGCUUAGAAGCAGCCACCAUUUAAAGAGUGCGUAAUAGCUCACUAGUCGAGUGACUCUGCGCCGAAAAUGUACCGGGGCUAAAUACACCACCGAAGCUGCGGAUUGAUACCAAUGGUAUCAGUGGUAGGGGAGCGUUCUAAGGACAGUGAAGUCAGACCGGAAGGACUGGUGGAGUGCUUAGAAGUGAGAAUGCCGGUAUGAGUAGCGAAAGACGGGUGAGAAUCCCGUCCACCGAAUGCCUAAGGUUUCCUGAGGAAGGCUCGUCCGCUCAGGGUUAGUCAGGACCUAAGCCGAGGCCGACAGGCGUAGGCGAUGGACAACAGGUUGAUAUUCCUGUACCACCUCUUUAUCGUUUGAGCAAUGGAGGGACGCAGAAGGAUAGAAGAAGCGUGCGAUUGGUUGUGCACGUCCAAGCAGUUAGGCUGAUAAGUAGGCAAAUCCGCUUAUCGUGAAGGCUGAGCUGUGAUGGGGAAGCUCCUUAUGGAGCGAAGUCUUUGAUUCCCCGCUGCCAAGAAAAGCUUCUAGCGAGAUAAAAGGUGCCUGUACCGCAAACCGACACAGGUAGGCGAGGAGAGAAUCCUAAGGUGUGCGAGAGAACUCUGGUUAAGGAACUCGGCAAAAUGACCCCGUAACUUCGGGAGAAGGGGUGCUUUCUUAACGGAAAGCCGCAGUGAAUAGGCCCAAGCGACUGUUUAGCAAAAACACAGCUCUCUGCGAAGCCGUAAGGCGAAGUAUAGGGGGUGACACCUGCCCGGUGCUGGAAGGUUAAGGAGAGGGGUUAGCGUAAGCGAAGCUCUGAACUGAAGCCCCAGUAAACGGCGGCCGUAACUAUAACGGUCCUAAGGUAGCGAAAUUCCUUGUCGGGUAAGUUCCGACCCGCACGAAAGGUGUAACGAUUUGGGCACUGUCUCAACCAGAGACUCGGUGAAAUUAUAGUACCUGUGAAGAUGCAGGUUACCCGCGACAGGACGGAAAGACCCCGUGGAGCUUUACUGUAGCCUGAUAUUGAAUUUUGGUACAGUUUGUACAGGAUAGGCGGGAGCCUUUGAAACCGGAGCGCUAGCUUCGGUGGAGGCGCUGGUGGGAUACCGCCCUGACUGUAUUGAAAUUCUAACCUACGGGUCUUAUCGACCCGGGAGACAGUGUCAGGUGGGCAGUUUGACUGGGGCGGUCGCCUCCUAAAGUGUAACGGAGGCGCCCAAAGGUUCCCUCAGAAUGGUUGGAAAUCAUUCGUAGAGUGCAAAGGCAUAAGGGAGCUUGACUGCGAGACCUACAAGUCGAGCAGGGACGAAAGUCGGGCUUAGUGAUCCGGUGGUUCCGCAUGGAAGGGCCAUCGCUCAACGGAUAAAAGCUACCCCGGGGAUAACAGGCUUAUCUCCCCCAAGAGUCCACAUCGACGGGGAGGUUUGGCACCUCGAUGUCGGCUCAUCGCAUCCUGGGGCUGUAGUCGGUCCCAAGGGUUGGGCUGUUCGCCCAUUAAAGCGGUACGCGAGCUGGGUUCAGAACGUCGUGAGACAGUUCGGUCCCUAUCCGUCGUGGGCGUAGGAAAUUUGAGAGGAGCUGUCCUUAGUACGAGAGGACCGGGAUGGACGCACCGCUGGUGUACCAGUUGUUCUGCCAAGGGCAUAGCUGGGUAGCUAUGUGCGGAAGGGAUAAGUGCUGAAAGCAUCUAAGCAUGAAGCCCCCCUCAAGAUGAGAUUUCCCAUAGCGUAAGCUAGU
rnacentral:rRNA from 8 species